ACAGCCCAAUUUCCAUGACACCAGCCCAACACCAAACAAUACCUGAAAAUGUCAUUUUCAGCAUUGUACAAGGAAUAUUCUAGGAUGUGUAUGUGUACAAAAAGUUUGUUACACAAAAUAUGUAAUUGCAUUUUAGUCCAUAGAUUGUUUAGAUAUUACUAGUUUUCUAUUUGCUAUUUCUUGUAGAAGAAUCCUCAGCUACUUGUAUAUAUAUGAGGCAUUGAUCAAUAAAAUAUACACAGAAAAAUUCCCAAAAUCUCAUACAUUUCAUCUUGAUUUUCUAACAUUAAUUUUGUUAGCAUCCUUUUUUUUCGGGUUUAUCUUCAUAAUUCUUAAUUUCAUAAUCCAUUGAUUGGUGUGCGUUAAAUGUAACCUUGAAACUCCAUUUUUAAUUCUAACCUCGCCGUUUUAUUUAACCAUUAGAGACAGAGGGACAAACGAAAGCCCAUACAUCUGAUACAAAAACAAUCCUUCAGAUUUUAUUGUUGGGUUCUCUUCCUACUUCGUUUCUUCUAUUUAUUUUUUCCUUUCGGUGCUUUUUUCUGGAACAUAUUGAGUAGCUAAUGACACCAAAUGAUUUUACAUCUAGGCAUUAGGCAUUGUCUUACCAGCAUCAACUAAUGUUAGGCUCAUCUAAAUCUUGUUCAACUACCCUGCAUCCUUUGUUGUCCUCCGCAGCCUAUAUUUUCUCCAUGUCUUGUAAGAAACAUAGCUACCUAUCAAACAAAAGUCAAAGCUAAAACCUUAAGUCGGCUCAAAAGGUAGUACGGUACUGACACUAUUCUUUUAAUACCUGAAGUACCAAUUAGGAAAAGAUGAAAUCAAUAAGCAAACAAUCACACUUUAAUUUCAAAUCCAUAAUCACAGUUAUAUCUAUAAAUCUCUAUUUCAUCAAUUUGUCUGUAGUCCCUUGUGAGAUUAAUGGACAAGAGAUGUUCUACUCUUUGAAGAGUGAAGAUUUAGAAAUAGCAAAAAAAUUUAUUACAGAAAUCUUAUUAAUAAAUUCUUUCUAUGCUUGAUUCACAAAACCUCACUUACUUCCAGUUUUAAGCUUCUUUUUAUCAUCACUUUAGUUUUCGAUGUUUUUUCUUGAGUUUCCUUUCAUUUCUUUUCCCAUUCUUCCUCUUUUCUCUCGGUUCUCAGGUGAGCUCUUAUUCCCCUAUCUACUUCCAUUCCUGAGCAGCUUUUAUGUCCAUAUUUCUCAUUUCUCUGUUUGGUUCUUCUCUUUUUUGGUGUUUCUAUUAGACUUUUUUGUGACUUCACUAUUUAAGAGCCGGUAAAUUGACAGAUACUAAGAAAAUAGGUUGCAAAUGGUUUUCCGUGUGUUUCUUUUCACUUUCCUCUGUUUUUUCAAACAUGCACAACAAGUUCUCAGCAAUUCCUUAUAGUAUUGGCGAUAUGAGCCCCAGUGAAUUUAUGCCUUAUCUAAUCAUAUGGUGCAUUGCGCUGCCUGUGCCCCAAUUUUGUUUCAAAAAUAAGAUUCGGAGUCUGAUUUUGAUGUCGCCACUACUACUGCUACCAACUCUCUUGCUCUAAUUACUUCACGUGGGUAUAAGCUUUUUCCAAUUAUUUAUUCUUUCUUGAGACGUAAUCAUUUUGCAACCACAUCCUUUUUUUUUUAAAAUGGGGCCUAUCUGUUAACAUCUUCUCUGUAUCAUUUUAUAGCUUCAAAAUCAAUCAAUUGUUGUGUCAUCUUGAAAGAAUGACAAACGGCAGUUUGUUGGUAACUUCAUUUCAGUUUCAAUGGAACUUCGACCCCAGUUUUUCUUGCAUCUCCAACUAUUCAGUUCAUUCAAUUGAUUUAUCGGGAUACUGUACAAGUUUUUCUUCUCUUUUCCACAGCUGACAACAACUGGUUGAAUCCAGAUUGUAUCCACUUACACCAAGAACAUCAAAAAUUUCACAACUUUUCUCUUUUAAGCAAACUUGGCAAUGUAAUAAUAUAACUUUGUUCCGCACAA